GGGGGUAUAGCUCAGUGGUAAAGCAUGUGCUUAGCAUGCGCAAGGUCCCAGGUUCAAUCCCCAGUACCUCCA
rnacentral:tRNA from 1 species